UCUCUAUGUCUCUGUUUCUACGGUGGAUGAUAGAUCUUAUCAUCGCAGGCAAACAAAUUAAGAUGUGAUGCUUGUGUGUGUGAUCUCUCUCGUCUUCUUCGUUGCUUUUUAAGUGAAAACAGAGAGAGCCGUUGUAUAUAUGAGUCUUUCUUGGGCCAUACCAACGAAUCACACCAAAGAUUAGGGUGAAUCCAACAAGCAGAUGCAACAACUCAUGAAUAAUGAAAUCUCAAAAAAGGAAGAAGAAGAGAACAGAGAGGCAAACGAAGCAGACAACAAUCGAAGAAGAGAAUUGAAAAAAAAUUCAGAGCAAUUGCAUUUUUAACUUGAAAGGAGACGCGAGACGCAUGUAUAUAAAUUUUUUUGUUUGACACUCAAGUUUCCUUUUUUCCUUUUCACUUAGGGUUUGUUAUAGUCCAGAGCAAACACUAACCUUAGGUUCGGUGAUAAUCUAGCCGUUAUACACGGUUCGGGUCAAAUACUUUCCAAUUAUUAGCUGAUACGCUCCUACUAAUUUUUAGUUUAGAUACUGAUUGUAUAUAUUUUGAUUGUAUUACUUUCUACUAAACCAUUGCUUUUCAUUUAUCUAACGUUGUGCUCUGCCUCCUUUGUAUUACUGGACCAC